AAAAUAAUAAUAUUUUGUAAUUUUAACUGGAGGGUUAGAGAAAUGGUUCAUGAUUAAAAACACUGGCUGUUCUCGCAGAAGAUUCCCAAUGUAACAGGCCUCAGACCUUAGCACAUCUGACUCCAUGAUGGAAGUACUGCUCAGGCCAAAACUAAAGCACAGGCCCAACCCGUCAAGGCCUAUAGUUAGGCUAAAGUCUCUCAAGUACUAACCUGUUUUUUUAGCUUCUGUAGUUCCGUAUCUGGCUAACUGUUCUUGCUAACUGAGGUAUAUCACCUCAGGAUGUGGUUUUGUGCUUAAAAACUCACCCUGAGAAAGGCUCCAGGCUAUACUGGGCUCUACACACAGAGACUAUAGUGCAGUCACUGGCCCAUAAAGACUUUGUCUGCUAAAACCUGUGUCUGAGUAAUCUUCUCUGGUGGAUCCCCCACAACACCAGAAGCACAGGGCAGGUCGCAGCCUCCUGUACUGUCAGCUCCAGCGGAUUCGAUGGCCUCUCCUGCCUUCAGUACACAUUGGGCAUAUAUAUGUUGCACAGACACACAUGCAGGCAUACAACGCAUAUAUAAUAUUUUUUAAAUGUUGAUGAGAAGAAAACGCAUACUGCUCUCACCAGGCCUGAGUUUAGUUCCCAGUCCUUGCACUGGUGAAUCAAAGCCACCCACGGGUCUGGCUUUGGGGAUUCACUGCCACCCAUGCUUGCAAACAACUUAAAAAUAAAAAUUUUUAAAAAAAUUUUGUUUUCCCUGGGCAGUGGUGGCACAUGCCUUUAAUCCCAGCACUCAGGGUAUCAUAUCCACUGGGGAGGUGAGGGGAUAGGGUGCUCAUGUCCCCUUACCCCGGGUGGCAUCUGUGCCUUCUGGCACGGGUCACUGUAACCUCAUUGAUUGAACACAGGCUGACCUUCAAAUGAAGACCUACAAAACCUCGGAUUUUGGGAAAGACAGUGCCUUUCAACAGUAUUACUUAGUGAAGUAGAUCAUCCGACCAUGUGAUAGGCACAGGCCAUCUCCAUCCCAAACCUGGGACACUCGUGUCUCUUGUACAUCACAUUUCUCCUUAACCUGUCUGACACUAAAAAGAAGUGCUCUUCCCUCCAGCUCUAGCUACUCAUCUCAAGGCCAGAGAAGCCAGGCAGGGAGGAAGCUGGGGACCAGCCCAGUGGCUUCACCAGCACUCAGUGGCACUUUCCUUCCUUAGGCCGCAUCGCCCUCUAUGAAUGAGAAGCGGCAUUGCAAGGGGCACCUCUGAGAGCUGCCUCAGCACACACAGGUGAGCCUUCAACAGCUGCUCCAGCAGGGUACACAAGGCAAACUUACAAUUUGGGAGGCAGAAGCAGGAGGAUCGGAUCGGCAUAAACUGGAAGUCAGUGAGGCUUGUUUCAAACCACCUGGAAGGGCUAAGCAGGAGAUUACUCUAAACAAAGUUGCUCUAAUGUUGGGAUCUACAACCAUAAAACGAACAUGGAGAUUCAGACGGCUGUCAAAACUGUAGGCCGGGCAGUGGUGGUGCACACCUUUAAUUCCAGCACUUGGGAGGCAGAGGCAGGCGGAUUUCUGAGUUCGAGACCAGCCUGGUCUGCAGAGUGAGUUCCAGGACAGCCAGGGCUAUACAGAGAAACCCUGUCUCAAAAACAAACAAACAAACAAACAAACAAACAAAAAACAAAACAAAAACAAACAAACAAACAAACUGUAUGCUUUUCACUUAAAUCAGAGGGGCUGGAGGACUGGCAUGAAGGCCCUGCCUAGAAUUCCCCAGUAAGGGGCCUGGGGGCGUGGUUAGGGGUAAAAGGCAGAGAGUUGUCCUCUGACCUUCACACUCACAGUGGCCACACAACACACAUAACUCACAUUCAUGCAACAAAAGGAAAACCCCAUCUCAAAAGGAAAGAAAGUUGUCAGCUAUACUGAGUCUGCUUUCUAUGUCGUUUCAUGUUAUCUUGUAGUACCUGGGCCCUUCGUGGUCGAACAGGCUGUUAUCAAAGCUUGUCACCAGGCCAUCUUUCAAGAAGGGAGCUGGGCAGAAACAACAAGGAGCAGCCCGCAGUAUGGAGAGGACCACUUUAUUCUUAGGCUGGCACAGAGGUGGGAGUGAAUGAGGCAGGUGGACCCCUCCCUGGGCUGCUGGGAUUUGGCAAGGUGGCCAAGUCUUACAGGUGAGAAAUACACUCAGUCAAGCCUUGAGGGCUGGUCCCUGAUUCUUCCAGAGCUGGGUAUUGGGCACAGUGACUUCGGGAAGUACCCAGGGGUGUCUCUCAGCCCUGGGCUCAGGCAACCAAGCUUAAACUGUACACAUUUAGUUUAGUGGCAGCCUCUGGAAAAGUAACCAGAAUUCCUCAGGGUCUUGAGAGUGCAGAGGUCUCAGGGAAUGGCCAUGAGGCUCAAAAGUUGGAGCUGGGAACAGUCAUAUUCUGCUACACCCUCCAUGGCAUGACAGACAGGGACCUGCUGGAGUUUGGUCCUGUGGCCCACAGGGGCCACACAACACACAUAGUUUUGCUACACAAUAGGCUGCCACUGAAGAGAGAGGUUCCUGUCACCACCUUCCAGGAACUGCAGAUCUAAGGGUGGGAGCCACAAGUGAAUUCAUUACUGGAUCCCAGGUUAGCCCAGAUACUGUUCCCAGGAGGGUGGCCACUAGAAACCAGUUAUCAGUAAUCCCAAAAAUCUCCAGAUGAGCUGGCUGACACUUGGGGGCAGAGGCAGGUGGAUCUGUGAGUUGGAGGCCAGUCUGGCCUACAGAAUAAGUUCCAGGACAGCCAGGGCUACAUAGUAAGAGCCUGUCUCAAAACAAAAACAAAGACAAACAAACAAACAAAACCAAAAAUAUUUCUGAAUAGACUUGGGUUUGGUACCUUACAUCUUUAACAAAGCACUUGGGAUGCAGAGGCAGGAGGAUCUCUGUGAGUUCCAGGCCAGUUUCAAAACCAAACCAACAAUGUAAAAAAAGAAAGGAAAUGAAGCCAGCCGUGUUCACAACAGAGCCAGUCUGUGUGUGCGUUUGUGUGGCUGCGCACUGGGGUAGCCCAUGGCUGCCUGAUUCUCCCUGUCCCCUGGGCACCCUAUGUCUGGCUCUCCCAGGCUCCUCCAUGGGUGUGGGGGUCACACAUGUGCACUCACGCUCACGUGGCAAACACCUCCCCACUGUGCAGAACCUUACCGGUUUUGUUUUGUUUCUUUAAGACAGGGUCUCUCUGUGUAGACCAGGCCGGCCUCGAAUUGACAGAUCUGCCUGUCACUGCCUCCUGACUAGGAUCAAAGGCCUGUGCCACCCUGCCUGGCUCCUUUACAUUUUUUUUUAAGACAAUCUUGUUAUGAGACCCUGGCUGGCCUGACCAUUACUGUGGAGGUCAGGGUGGCCUCAAGUUUAUAGCAAUCCUCCUUGCAGCUGCCUGCAGAGUCUUGGGAUCAUAGGCAUGCAGUGUAUGCACCCUUCCUGACCUACAAAGACCCCCAGAACACCCAAUACUGGGAGUCCUGCCCUGGGGGUGCUGGGGGUGGCAUGGCACAUUAGUUCAUCUUUGGAGGUAUGCUGGCUGCCUAUGUGGUCACCCACACACAAUGUGGCUGUAAACAGAAGACAUCUGGUGGCCCCUCCCCUUCCAGGUUGGCAAGUGAGGGACAAAGCUGUCAGGGCAGAGAGCCAUGGAGAAGGGACAAGUGGUGGUUAGCAGUGGCUCCAGAUCCUGCCUCCUCUCGGAGGCCAUGGCACAUACAGUGUAAACCCAGUGGCUGAAAGCACAGUGUCCAGGUUCAAGUUCAGGCCCUGGAUGCCGGCAAGGGGACGGGUUAGAGUCAGGGCCCACAGUCACCACGAGAGGGGGCGGAAGCUGUGGUCUUGCUGCUCCUCAGACAGUGGCGUGAGUGAGCGUGCCAUGCUCCUGAGACACGAGCUGCACACAGUUGUCUCCCCAAGUCUCAGCGGACGGGAGGGGUCCUCAGUGACACAUCCGUGAUGUCAUCUCUUUCUG
ensembl:lincRNA Gm26541 predicted gene, 26541